CAGUAGCCGCGGUAAUACGUAGGGUGCAAGCGUUAAUCGGAAUUACUGGGCGUAAAGCGUGCGCGGGCGGUUUGUUAAGACAGAUGUGAAAUCCCCGGGCUUAACCUGGGAACUGCAUUUGUGACUGGCAAGCUAGAGUAUGGCAGAGGGGGGUGGAAUUCCGCGUGUAGCAGUGAGAUGCGUAGAUAUGCGGAGGAACACCGAUGGCGAAGGCAGCCCCCUGGGCCAAUACUGACGCUCAUGCACGAAAGCGUGGGGAGCAAACAGGAUUAGAUACCCGCGUAGUCCCUGUCUCUUAUAC
rnacentral:rRNA from 1 species